rnacentral:rRNA from 1 species
UACGUAGGGGGCAAGCGUUGUCCGGAAUCAUUGGGCGUAAAGCGUGCGUAGGUGGUGAGUUAAGUCUGUCGUGAAAGCCCCGGGCUCAACCUGGGAAUGGCGAUGGAUACUGGCUCGCUAGAGUGCGGUAGAGGAGAGUGGAAUUCCCGGUGUAGCAGUGAAAUGCGUAGAGAUCGGGAGGAACAUCAGUUGCGAAGGCGGCUCUCUGGACCAGCACUGACACUGAGGCACGAAAGCGUGGGGAGCAAACAGG